GAUGAACGCUAGCGACAGGCUUAACACAUGCAAGUCGAGGGGCAGCAUGAGGUAGCAAUACCUUGAUGGCGACCGGCGCACGGGUGAGUAACGCGUAUGCAACCUGCCCGAUACCGGGGUAUAGCCCAUGGAAACGUGGAUUAACACCCCAUAGUACUUUUAUCCUGCCUGGGAUGGGAGUUAAAUGUUCAAGGUAUCGGAUGGGCAUGCGUCCUAUUAGUUAGUUGGCGGGGUAACAGCCCACCAGGACGAUGAUAGGUAGGGGUUCUGAGAGGAAGGUCCCCCACAUUGGAACUGAGACACGGUCCAAACUCCUACGGGAGGCAGCAGUGAGGAAUAUUGGUCAAUGGACGAGAGUCUGAACCAGCCAAGUCGCGUGAGGGAAGACUGCCCUAUGGGUUGUAAACCUCUUUUAUAAGGGAAGAAUAAGUUCUACGUGUAGAAUGAUGCCUGUACCUUAUGAAUAAGCAUCGGCUAACUCCGUGCCAGCCGCCGCGGUAA
rnacentral:rRNA from 1 species